AGCUUUGCGCAGUGGCAGUAUCGUAGCCAAUGAGGUUUAUCCGAGGCGCGAUUAUUGCUAAUUGAAAACUUUUCCCAAUACCCCGCCGUGCCAGCUUGCAAUAUAGCUGGCACUGGCAAUUUUUGACAGUCUCUACGGAGA